UGCUGCUAUAGAGAGAGCUGUUGCCCGCUCCCUCCUGUCUCCUGGGAGGAGAAUGGUCUGCUGGAGUGUAUUCCCGAGCCGAGUGAGGAGGAUCUUCAAGUGGAACUUUCAGAAGCUGAUAGACGGUCACCGUGGUCGAGGAGAUGGUGGACUGCGGCCAGAGCAUGUUAAAGAGGCUUACGGCAGCAGGAUAAACAGAGCUACAUGCUGAUCGGCCAGAGCUGGCAGGGGCAACAGAAGUCCAAGGGUGUCUGUGACCUGGAUGUGGAUCACAUGAAUGAGGGAACUUGCCUGGAGCUGGCAAGAGCACCUCAAAACUGAGUCUGAGAGAGAAGGACCAAGAGCAAAGCACAAGCUGAGGGCAGGUUGAGAGAACCUAGCCGAAGAAAGAUGCUUGUUGCCCAUAUCAUGAAAAUUGGAAGACAAAUAAGAAAGAGCACUGGCCAAGCUCUACCUUGUUCACAUGUAACGCCUGAGCGAUCCUAUCAAGAUGCUAAUAGUCUCUAGGUGACAACACAGUGGUCAUGGCUCAGAUGGCAAGUUCAUGUUUUAAUAUUCCAACCACUUGAAGAAGAAGCAAAUGAGACAUAACAGAGACUACAAACCUGAGAACUACAGCGCGCCUCCCAGAGCGCCAGGUCCGGCCAGCCGCCUUCCAUAUCCAUUUCCCCGGGUGGCCACUCGCAGUAAGAUGUCAGUUGUGCUGCCCAAGGUGGUCUGGGAAUGAGGAGGAGAAUGGAAUUCCAUGGUGCUGCAGGAAGGCUGGUGGCGCCCUCCCUAUCUUGAUCUCCUUGAAGAUCAUGUGUCUGGCCACCAAAACCUAUCACUGAUGCAGUAAACACACCAGAGCAAGUGACUCCACUCUACAUAUAUCCUUUCUUAGAAUCUUAUCAACACCAACCUUGCAGGAAGUUCCUGAGUUUCAAAAUCAGCAGCGCUCCUCUGUGGAUCACCAAGAACCAUGAAUUUGCUUAAAUCAGCUUCAUCGCUUAAAGAAACACCUCCCCUGGCUUACACUGCGUUUAACUGUCACAUCUUCAUUCAUGAGAUGGUCUAACCAUCUUUAAAUCCAGUGUCGAAGACACUUGUGUUGUUCCAAGAUCUUCAUCAGAAACAGGAUAAAAAAAGAAAACACCCAACCGGGGAAUAAGACUUGAGGUUGAGUUUUAACUCUGGUAUUUAACAGGUUUUGCAGGCUUCAAAUCAUUAUUUUGCCUCUGAACUUCAAUUUCCUCAACUGUAAAAUAGGGAUGAUAAUCUCAGCAAUGACUCAGAGUUUUAGCAAAAAAUAUCAUAUUUCUGAAAGUACUCUGUAUGCCAAGAUAUGCUCUACAAUUGAAACUGGUUUUAUGCUUCUUACAAAGCCUGAAACAUAGCAGGUACUCCAAGGAUCUUUUCAGAAUGUACUUGAAAUAUGAAGUACUAGCUAUUGACAUGAUCAUGCUGGAUCCUUGCAGCAUUCCUGAGACAUUCUCCUCCCGCUAUAGGUAAUCACAUUGAGGCCAGGAAGCAGUAAGUGACUGUGAGAAGAGACAAUGAAUUUUAGGAAGUCUGUUUUUAAGUCUAGUCUUUCUCCCAGUAUAUUAUGCUUUUUCUUAUUAUAUUGUCUGUGUUAGAGGCAUAUAUAUUUUAGGAUAAACUUCAGAGAGCAAAUCAAGGAGUUAUUCCACUCUUCUCUGAGCCCAUUUACUCAGACCGUGUCAACUUGAUGCCCAGC
rnacentral:lncRNA from 1 species